rnacentral:rRNA from 1 species
GACGAACGCUGGCGGCGUGCUUAACACAUGCAAGUCGAGCGGUAAGGCCCUUUCGGGGGUACACGAGCGGCGAACGGGUGAGUAACACGUGGGUGACCUGCCCUCAGCUCUGGGAUAAGCCUGGGAAACCGGGUCUAAUACUGGAUAUGACUCCAUGACGCAUGUUGUGGGGUGGAAAGCCUUGUGCGGCUGAGGAUGGGCCCGCGGCCUAUCAGCUUGUUGGUGGGGUGANGGCCUACCAAGGCGACGACGGGUAGCCGGCCUGAGAGGGCGACCGGCCACACUGGGACUGAGACACGGCCCAGACUCCUACGGGAGGCAGCAGUGGGGAAUCUUGCGCAAUGGGCGAAAGCCUGACGCAGCGACGCCGCGCGAGGGAUGACGGCCUCGG